ACGCACGCUGGCGGCGUGCCUAAUACAUGCCAGUUGCGCGCUGAAGAUUGGUGCUUGCACCAAUUUGAAGAGCAGCGAACGGGUGAGUAACGCGUGGGGAAUCUGCCUUUGAGCGGGGGACAACAUUUGGAAACGAAUGCUAAUACCGCAUAACAACUUUAAACAUAAGUUUUAAGUUUGAAAGAUGCAAUUGCAUCACUCAAAGAUGAUCCCGCGUUGUAUUAGCUAGUUGGUGAGGUAAAGGCUCACCAAGGCGAUGAUACAUAGCCGACCUGAGAGGGUGAUCGGCCACAUUGGGACUGAGACACGGCCCAAACUCCUACGGGAGGCAGCAGUAGGGAAUCUUCGGCAAUGGACGAAAGUCUGACCGAGCAACGCCGCGUGAGUGAAGAAGGUUUUCGGAUCGUAAAACUCUGUUGGUAGAGAAGAACGUUGGUGAGAGUGGAAAGCUCAUCAAGUGACGGUAACUACCCAGAAAGGGACGGCUAACUACGUG
rnacentral:rRNA from 1 species